UACGAAGGGGGCUAGCGUUGUUCGGAAUCACUGGGCGUAAAGGGCGCGUAGGCGGCCGUUCAAGUCGGGGGUGAAAGCCUGUGGCUCAACCACAGAAUUGCCUUCGAUACUGUUCGGCUCGAGACCGGAAGAGGUUGGUGGAACUGCGAGUGUAGAGGUGAAAUUCGUAGAUAUUCGCAAGAACACCAGUGGCGAAGGCGGCCAACUGGUCCGGUUCUGACGCUGAGGCGCGAAAGCGUGGGGAGCAAACAGG
rnacentral:rRNA from 1 species